AAGUCGUAACAAGGUUUCCGUAGGUGAACCUGCGGAAGGAUCAUUAUUGAAAUAGCACGACGGGAAGCUGUUGCUGGCCCUAGUGGCCGUGCACGCUUUCUGUCCUUCAUUUCUCCAUCUAUUUGUGCACCUCUUGCGUAGACCCCUCUGUUAGGACUGCUUUGCAAAAUUGAUUGUGGGCUUUCCUUGUUUCUACGUCGUCAUAUACACCAGUGUAACGAUUUGGAAUGAAUGGAAUUUUGAUGCAAUAUAUAUAAAGCACAACUUUCAGCAACGGAUCUCUUGGCUCUCGCAUCGAUGAAGAACGCAGCGAAAUGCGAUAAGUAAUGUGAAUUGCAGAAUUCAGUGAAUCAUCGAAUCUUUGAACGCAUCUUGCGCUCCUUGGUAUUCCUAGGAGCAUGCCUGUUUGAGUGUCAUAAAUAUCUCAACCGCACCCUAUGGUGGUGUGGCUUGGAUUUGGGGGUGGCAGGCUUAGUCUGCUCCCCUGAAAUACAUUGGCGGUGCCCGACGUGAUGUGAUAAAUUAUCCGCAUCUGUUUAUGAGCUGCCGUGUCGUGUUGGAGUUGAUAAACUUGACCUCAAAUCAGGUAGGACCACCCGCUGAACUUAAGCAUAUCAAUACGCGGAGGAAAAGAAACUAACCAGGAUUCCCUUAGUAACUGCGAGUGAAGUGGGAAGAGCUCAAAUUUGUAAUCUGGUGGCCCUUGGCCAUCCGAGUUGUAAUCUAAAGAA
rnacentral:misc_RNA from 1 species